CCUCCUUAUACGAUUUAGAACUUAUUUGUUCGUAGUGUCCACACAGAUGAUUGUUAGUUAGUUUGCUCUUUGAGUUUACUAAUUAAUAUGCUCUUUAAAAAUUUGGAAAAGCUGAUAAUAAAAUUCGUAUGAAUGACAUUUGUUAUUUGUACAGAGUUUUCAAAAGUAAAAAAGAAUGAUAGCAGUAUCAUUCAGUGCCAAUUUAAUCUUCGGAUUAAUUGGUAUCUACUUUAGUAUUCAAUAUUAACUUCUGGCGAAGUUAAACUGUCACAAAACAAAGACCCGUUUGGGUUGUAUGGUUAAGUGACUAAGCGUACACGGUGGAUGC
rnacentral:misc_RNA from 1 species